rnacentral:tRNA from 1 species
GAAAUAUGUUAUACAAGUAAAAGCUGCUAACUUAUUAUUUUAGCGGUUAAAUUCCGUUUAUAUUUCU